rnacentral:lncRNA from 1 species
UUUGUGCACGACUCUUGCAAGUCUUUGUUGCUGCUGAUGCAUUGCUGGAUGUUUGUUAUGAUGUAUUUCGGCUAGUGGUUGUAGCUCAUGUAUCCGGAUUCUACAGCAAGAUUACGUCACAGCAUGCACCUGUUGGCAAAGUUUGGAUGAUUGUGUGGUUUGUAAAUUGACGACGUUAUGUGACAUGGUAUGCUACAUUAUACUUGCAGCGAGCUGGUCUGUUUUGGAUUGUGGCAGUAAUCACUCAACUAUGUUAUGCCAUUGUUUUAUUUGGCCAUGGAUAACUUGGCAUAGUAAUAGUGAUAUCAUGCUAGGCGUUUUUGCAGGUUCAAUGUCGCACAAUGGGCUUGGCCAAGGCUUGGAGAAAAAGCUGCAAAAAUAAGUGAUUCUGAACUCUGGUGAUGGAGCAUGACCAAUUGAGGUUUAGGUCCCUUUUUUUAGGAAAUGGUCAAUAGCCGGUUUGUUGGAAUUUGGCCAACCUUUGUAGAGGAUUUGUCAAUUCCUUAUGAUUUUGUAAUGAUGAUUUGUAAAAUGGAAUUUCUGAAAAGUGAAUUGUAAUCGUAUGAUUUUUAAAGGUGUAUGAAACAUUUUUUCUCUGUGAAGUGAAAUGUACACAGAAAAUGGUUAUGGAAUUCAGGAUUGCCUCAAAUUAGUGUUGUAUGCAAGAUGCUUUUGCCGGAGGUUGAACCCGGCUGCAAUUUGCCUUCGCCGCGACAUCAUUAUUUCACAGCUUGCCUUGUGUUGUAGUUUGGAUCAUUU